rnacentral:lncRNA from 1 species
CUCUACCACUCCACCCAUCACUCACUUAAGUCUAUAUUAGAGUUUAGUUUCCCACAUAUUACCCUAAACCGAGCAUACAUUGAUUAUUUGAGGACGUAAACACAUUCAAAUAAAAAAGUUGUCAACUACAAAACAAAGUUUCAUUCAAGAUCUACAACUUUUAUAUUGGUAGUUUCUCUAUCCAAGGUCAUUUAUAAAAUUUGAAUUUUAAAUUUAUGAGAUUCAAACGUAGUUUUCGAUGAUAACGUCUUCCUAUUGACUUGCGCCCACUGUUACUUGCAUAAUAAUCCUGGCAGCCUGCUAAGAAAAUAGGUUAGUUAUGAGGCCCGAAUUCCAAUUUUGGGAUCCUGAGAUCUACAGUGAGCUCUCUACUUGGCAGCACAUUUCCAUAGUCCAAAAUCACUCCUGUCAUAGUCCAAAGUAGCCAAGAUAAAGACAAUGUUUUUUCCUAUAGGAAAUUAAUAUUACUAUUGUUAUACAGGAUUGACUAAUUGUUUUUAUACAAAGGCAAAUGCUAUUCCUAAUGUCCGUUUGCCUACUUCCUUCAUAAUGCAAAAUAUAGGGGACACUCCCAUCCAAUCUUACAUAAGCAUAAUCCUAUAAUGGUGAGGAGGGUUAAGUCAUUUAAGUGAUGUUAGUCAACCACAUGAGGCUCGAAAUAGGUCGCCAUAUGUGAUUGUACAAUACAUUCUAUAGAAUGUGUACAGAUACACAGUGCUUGGUCAUGUGAUUCACACGAAGUAAAACAAUAUGUAAUUCUAUUGGAAUUCAAUAAUAAAAACAUUGCAUCAAAAGAAGAUCAUAGUGCAACCACGGGAUGGGUCGAGUCGAGUUUGGUUAGGCUGGACCAUGUGCACCUAUCUGGGGAAAUCCCCCUCACCGGCUCACCCGCAAGCCAUUCACCUGCCAUCAACGUCUGAGCCGCUCGCAGGUCUGUGCCCCGGCGGACGAAGGAGCAAAGAACCUCCUCCUCGUCCACAACAGCGUCGGGUCCGUUGCUGGCUGCAGUUGGAAAUCGGGCACUCUGAAUCUGACUCGAGUGCCGAAUGAGUUUCAAAGAACAAAAAAAAAACAUUUGGAAAAAAACACUAAAGAGGCU